UGAACACAUAUAGCAGAAUGGAAAUGGGUCACAUUACAAACACUUAUAUCACAGGUACAUAGCUACACAGAGACUAAAAUUAAAUGACAACUCAAGUGACUACAUUAGAGAGCAAUUUUAGAAUAAGAUUCAGAACAAGUAAACUGAAUGUAACAGACGGCUACUUGACAGAUGAAUCACAUAUAUUGAAAUAGCACAAAGUAGUUUACAAUUGAAUAAGUCUCAACACUAAAAGUUCAGUGAACACACACGCACACAGGCUCACACACACACAGAGAACAGCAGCAGGUUCGGUUUGGUAAAUAAGAAGAACAAUAGAGAUGGUUCAGAGCUGAACAGUAGCAGAGGUUCAGAAGAUAAACAGCAGCAACGGAGGUGAGAAGCAGAGUGCAGAGCAGGAACGUGGGAAAGAAGAACAGCAGCAGUUUUAAGAGGAGGAGCAGCAGAGGCGUGGGGCAAGGGAGUAGCAGCAGGCAAAGGAGAAGGAGCAGCAGUAUGGUGACGCUAGGGAGAGAGGAGCAGCAGCAGGACCAUGGAGGAGAAGUAGCAGCGAGGGUGUGAGGUGCUGGUUGCGCGGGGGAUCAGACAGGCCAUCUAGUGGGUCGCGCGAUGUGGCGUUGGUGAUGGUGGAUGGAUGGCGUAGUGAAGACGGAGGCGCGGUAGUGUUCGGUGGUGAGGGGGUGGAGCUGGUGGCGCUGCUGGAUGGAUGGGUCGCGGAGGCGCACCACCACGCCGGCCUGGCCGUUGCGGCGGCCGGAGGUGGAGAAGGAGGGAUGAGGGAGAGAGGGUUGUGUAGCCAGGCCCGAUCGGAUCCCUCCAGCGCCUAGGGAUUUUUGUUCCCCUCCUCUCAUCUGCACUUUUUGAUUUGGCCCUCUUUC
rnacentral:rRNA from 1 species